UGCGUAGGCGGGCUAAUAAGUCAGUGGUGAAAUCUUCCGGCUCAACCGGGAACCUGCCAUUGAUACUGUUAGUCUUGAGUUCGGUUGAGGUAGGCGGAAUGUGUAAUGUAGCGGUGAAAUGCUUAGAUAUUACACAGAACACCAAUUGCGUAGGCAGCUUACUAGACCGACACUGACGCUGAGGCACGAAAGCGUGGGGCACAAACCGGAUUAGAUACCCGAGUAGUCC
rnacentral:rRNA from 1 species